AUGCGCGCUACUAUAACAAUGUCUUCCAUGGCUGUAAUGACCAAACUGAUAUUGGUGUAUAGACGAA